AUCCUUUGCAGUUCCUAAGCAUGAUGGCAAGGUGUUCAUGCUUAGGUUCGAGAUGUGCCUCCCUCAAACUUUGUCAAGAUGUUUAAAGCCCAGUCCUGCCC